rnacentral:rRNA from 1 species
AAUGGGGGCACCCUGAUCCAGCAAUGCCGCGUGUGUGAAGAAGGCCUUCGGGUGGUAAAGCACUUUUGUCCGGAAAGAAAACGCCGUGGUUAAUACCCGUGGCGGAUGACGGUACCGGAAGAAUAAGCACCGGCUAACUACGUGCCAGCAGCCGCGGUAAUACGUAGGGUGCAAGCGUUAAUCGGAAUUACUGGGCGGUAAAGCGUGCGCAGGCGGUCCGCUAAGACAGAUGUGAAAUCCCCGGGCUUAACCUGGGAACUGCAUUUGUGACUGGCGGGCUAGAGUAUGGCAGAGGGGGGUAGAAUUCCACGUGUAGCAGUGAAAUGCGUAGAGAUGUGGAGGAAUACCGAUGGCGAAGGCAGCCCCCUGGGCCAAUACUGACGCUCAUGCACGAAAGCGUGGGGAGCAAACAGGAUUAGAUACCCUGGUAGUCCACGCCCUAAACGAUGUCAACUAGUUGUCGGGUCUUCAUUGACUUGGUAACGUAGCUAACGCGUGAAGUUGACCGCCUGGGGAGUACGGUCGCAAGAUUAAAACUCAAAGGAAUUGACGGGGACCCGCACAAGCGGUGGAUGAUGUGG